UACCUGCAGCUCGAGUGGUAACCGCUAUUAUUGGGCCUAAAGCGUCCGUAGCCGGUUUGGUAAAUAUCUGGGUAAAUCGUGAGGCUUAACUUCACGAAUUUCGGAUAGACUGCCAGACUUGGGAUCGGGGGAGGUCAGAGGUACUCCAGGGGUAGCGGUGAAAUGUUGUAAUCCUUGGGGGACCACCGGUAGCGAAGGCGUCUGACUAGAACGAGUCCAACGGUGAGGGACGAAGCCCUGGGGCGCAAACCGGAUUAGAUACCCGGGUAGUCCAGGGUGUAAACGAUGUGGGCUUUGUAUUGGAGGUCCCACGUGGGCGUCCAGUGCAGAAGAGAAGUUGUUAAGCCCACCGCCUGGGAAGUACGGUCGCAAGGCUGAAACUUAAAGGAAUUGGCGGGGAGCACAGCAACGGGAGGAGCGUGCGGUUU
rnacentral:rRNA from 1 species